CUCACACUGACAGCUUGGAGGUGGCAACAGCUUUGGUGGCUUGGUUCUUUGUGCUUGAUCUGGAGAACACUGAGAACACCUGUCUGUUGCUGUUAAGUCUUAGUUCAGAGGAACU
rnacentral:miRNA from 1 species